AGCGUGAAAUGUUGGAGCAAAAAAUGGACGACCUACUGAGUCAUCAGAGACAAUUUGUCGAAAAUAAUCGUCGGUCCUUAGAACAGAAAAGAAAAGAAAAGGAAAAGUCUUCUACAUUUCUACGACGUGUUUCAUCAGCUACAUGACUUACUGACAGGGGAUCUGCCGUGCGACCAGAUAAACCAGGACUUGCAGCAAGCCAACGAUGCUCUACGAGCAGAACUCAACAAAGAAAUGGAGGAAAAAAACCUUCUUCGCUGCCAGUCUGAUAAAAAAUCUCAAGAAAUCCAUCAGCUGCAAGAAGAACUGAAAACAGCUAAACAGUUUCUGAAGGAGACCCAGAAUUAUGCGGAAGAGAUGAAAACUAGACAAUCUGAAGGCUU